UGACCGCGCACACACAGACACACAUACACACUUAUCCUGCACCCAAAUGACAGAGUUACACGGAGCCCAGUCAGACACAGCAUGUUUCCUCCCUACCUUCUGCUAUUGACCGUGGGAGGAUCUCUGCCGCUAAUUAGAGACACUGAAAUCCUGGAAGUAUCAACCACAAAUAGCACUCUGAAGGCACCCGUCCUUUUUUAAAUGUAAUGUGUUUAUUCCCCUUGGCUCUCCUCUCUUUUUCUCUCAAAGAAGCCCCUACUUAAUUCAAGAGCCCUACCUCUACCAUCUAGCUCAGGUACACCUAUAGAUGGGGGUACGUUUCUCCUCCUCGGGAGCCAAUUUUUGGCCAGCGAAAAAUACAGGCAUGCCCGAAAAUAGUGAUAAAUGAAAUCGGGUGCGAUGGGAUUGGGAAGUGAGGAAAGGGCUAGGAGCGAGCGGCGGCUGGACAGAAGCCCUGGCAGCAGCAGGACAGAAGCCCCGGCCCCCCCGCCUGGCCACUGCCCCCUCCCAGCACAUGCGACGGGACCUGAGGUCUGGAAAUCCUUUCCUAUCCCUUCUGGAGAAUCCUUCCCCACCCCCAAUCCUGUGCAAGUUCUUCAGGGGAUGGGGAAGAGCGGUGAACUUUUGCACCUGAUCUCCCCCCGCAGGCUCCCAGGCAUUCCUGAGGCACGCUCCCGGCUGCCUCAGGCAGCAGCAAUGAGGGAGGAACGCUGAGCCCUUCCAGCCGCUCCGUCUGCAAGGGUUAACCGGGGAAUGGAGCAGUGUCCUUCCUGCUGGAAGCACGCCACCUGAACGCGAAAUCAAACCUACUCACCGGGUGAAAUUGCAGGAGGCGAAGCGGCCGUGAAUAAAACGCAUCCCGGCUCCAAGCAUAUAGUCCAUGAUCUGCGGCUUCAAGCUAAAGGAUGGCCCUGCUCCCCGGCCGGCGCCGCUCUCCCUCGGACCCCGGCACGGAAGGGCGGCGGAGACCCCUGAGCGGGGAAGCGGCUUUUGGGAGCGACCCUGCGGCCAGGAGCGAUUGAGGGAGAGGGGAUGGGCGGAAAUUCCCCUGCUCAUCACCCGAGUCCCUCUCCUGCCCCGGGUAAGCGGAGCAUCGGCCCUCCAUUUCCCCCGCUUCUCGAUGCUUCCAGCCUCUCGGCAUGGAAAUAAUGGAAAAAUCCCCCUUUUCCUCGCAUAGCGGCUCCGGAAUGCGUGCGGAAUUUGAAGGUGUGUGAGGUCCAGCAUUUAUGGAGCUUGAUACAUGUCCCCCCACUCUCCUGGUCCCUCUUCUACACCCGUGCUGUGACCAGACACGCGUUCAUGGCUAAUAAAAAUGCUUUUCCCUGGGCACAGUCGGGCCGAGAGCUCAGCACGGGUAAGCUGCAGGCAGUCCGUGUCAGGAGCAGCGUGCAGGGCUGUGUGCACCCCUGGCCGGGCAGGAUGGGUGAGCAGUAACCAUGAGAUGAUGCGAUGUGUGUGCCAGGCAAUGUGGAGAGUUACAGCAGCACUGCUGCGUGCGCUCUCCAAAAGAGAUGGCAAUCUCUGGGUUGUUAUUAAGAAGCUUUUUGUCUUCUUUCUAUUGUCUCUGUAAGCAGCACUGUGAAGCGUUCGUGUCUGCUUGCCAGCCUGGCAGUUUCAUGUUUCCAGAAUCUGCUGGGGGGGAAAAGUCGGAAACCGCAGGAACCCAAGAUUCCUCUGGCACCACAUUGGUUCGUUCCUGUCAGCAUGUCUAAUUAUUCUUAUGCUAAAGAAUCGUGGAGUGAAAUGAAUCUUAGCAGUGAUUUACGCUGCUUGGGGCUUUAUUGAUUUUUUUUUUCUUUAGCGAGGAUGUAAGAAAAGGAGUGAAGGAAGAAUGAUAUGGUUUGUAAAGAAAAGAAUUCAGUGUACAUUUCAAGUGUGGUCGCUGUUAAAUAUGUCGAUAUAGAUACGAUUCUUUAUGCAGUUAUAAACACAAAAGGUCUCUUUGCCUCAGGAUGUGAUUUCUCUUACAGCCACAGGCUCCUCUGCCCCCUUCUCUCCCCUUAUCUCCUCCCCUUCAGCUCCUCCUGACAGAAUGAGGUUUAAAAGGUCAGCUUUUAUGUAAAUAUUGUGCCUUCCUUAACAAAGACAGCUGCACAUCAAGCCUGCAAUGACUGUCAAAUAGACUUGGGGUUCAAGGCAUCCCAUAAGGGCACUGUCCGUUUUCUAAGACUGAUAAAAUCUCGCAGAAAACAAAGGACAGACGUGGUGCGUGCCUGGGAUGGACCAACAGCACCAGGGAGCACAUGGGCAGCAGCACCGCCACGGCAGAGUUUGGUACUGCAGUGUCCAUCGGGCCUUCCCACCGCAUGUGUGCGACAGAGGGACCCACAGAAUGCAUAAAAAGAGAUUUGCUGCUAUGCUAAUGCCUUUCUGCUCUUUCCAUCAGGUUUCUUCUUCUUUCAAGUGAUGUUCUAGGCUGAACUCUCUUUGCAGCUCCUUCACAGCAAAGGUAGCUUCAAUCAGCCAAGGAGGAUUUUGAGUCUGACCAACCUCAUCCUCCCAAGGAAAGAGAUGGACUUCAUCAGUCUCUGGCUCAGACACUUCACAAUUAGAUGCAGUUUCUACUUCAUAGCAUCCAGAGGUGCAGUGCAUAUAAUCUGUGCUCUCUUUCCCUCCCUGCCACCUUCUUUCACUUACAGAGCAGGACACCUUGGUUUCCUCAAGUAGCAUCAACUCUUCUGGUUCUUUUCCACUUUAAAUUGAAUAAGAAUAUUCUGAUAUUAUUCACUUUCGAGAAUCAUGGAAUAGUUCAUUUGUGAAGGGACCUUAAAGAUGAUCUAAUUCCAG